ensembl:snoRNA
UGGUUUGCUAUUACCAUUUCACUUUUGGAAACUAAUGAAUGUGGUGUAAAAAAAAGCAUAAAUUAAUGUUUUGAAGCCUUUCGAUACCCUUAAAUUUUGUAUCGUUGGUGUAGGACCUGCAUAAGGAAGAGCU